GCGCUCAACUCGGCAGCAUAUAUACUAAAAUUAGAGCAAUCCAGAGAAAAUUAGCAUGGCCUCUUCACAAGGAAGCCAUGUAAAUUUGUAAAGAGUUUCAUAUUUUA
ensembl:snRNA U6 U6 spliceosomal RNA